UGGGGAAUUUUGGACAAUGGGCGCAAGCCUGAUCCAGCCAUGCCGCGUGCAGGAUGAAGGCCUUCGGGUUGUAAACUGCUUUUGUACGGAACGAAAAGGUGCCUUCUAAUAAAGGGCGCUCAUGACGGUACCGUAAGAAUAAGCACCGGCUAACUACGUGCCAGCAGCCGCGGUAAUACGUAGGGUGCGAGCGUUAAUCGGAAUUACUGGGCGUAAAGCGCGCGCAGGCGGCUUUGUAAGACAGAUGUGAAAUCCCCGGGCUCAACCUGGGAACUGCAUUUGUGACUGCAAGGCUAGAGUGCGUCAGAGGGAGGUGGAAUUCCGCGUGUAGCAGUGAAAUGCGUAGAGAUGCGGAGGAACACCGAUGGCGAAGGCAGCCUCCUGGGAUGACACUGACGCUCAUGCACGAAAGCGUGGGGAGCAAACA
rnacentral:rRNA from 1 species